GAUUGACCUCGGAUCAGGUAGGGAUACCCGCUGAACUUAA
rnacentral:rRNA from 14 species